UGGGGAAUAUUGCGCAAUGGGGGAAACCCUGACGCAGCGACGCCGCGUGCGGGAUGAAGGCCUUCGGGUUGUAAACCGCUUUUGAUUGGGAGCAAGCUUUCGGGUGAGUGUACCUUUCGAAUAAGCGCCGGCUAACUACGUGCCAGCAGCCGCGGUAAUACGUAGGGCGCAAGCGUUAUCCGGAAUUAUUGGGCUUAAAGGGCAUCUAGGCGGUAAGACAAGUUGAAGGUGAAAACCUGUGGCUCAACCAUAGGCUUGCCUACAAAACUGUUGAACUAGAGUACUGGAAAGGUGGGUGGAACUACACGAGUAGAGGUGAAAUUCGUAGAUAUGUGUAGGAAUGCCGAUGAUGAAGAUAACUCACUGGACAGAAACUGACGCUGAAGUGCGAAAGCUAGGGGAGCAAACAGG
rnacentral:rRNA from 1 species